CCAAAUUAACUUUUUUUUAUCAAGGUAAAAGAAAUCCAUGCCAUAGGGAUUGUAAGUUAACAGAAUUAUAGGCAAUCGGAUUUCAGUGUAAUCGGAAUUAUAUCCAAUAAAAUUUCUAGGCAAUCGGAUUCUAAGUAAUCGGAAUUCUAGGUAAUCGGGAUCUAAGUCACCGGUAAUCUAACUCAUUGGUCUACACCUAAUAGACGUCUUCCC